GUACGGAAAGCGAUAAGGCUGAAUUCGUUUGAAGGUACUGCGCAUGUGCAAUCAAACCGGAAAUAUAUCAAAACAAUGGGCUAUCGUCGUUAGCGAGGGUUUUAUUAUACUAUGGCGUAGAUUUUGUUUAUAGAUACUCACCUUUGUCGUGUUCAUAAUUUUUCCAUAGAUGCUCGUAGGGUUAAGGUCUAGCACUCUUCAGCGCAUCAGUGAGAGUACAUACAGUCAUGUGAAAAAAUUAGGACACCUUAUGGAAGCCUGUGUGUUUUCUAACAUAUUUGGUCAUAUGGAUAUUUAAUAUCAAUUUUAACAAUCUUGAGAGAUUUAAGUAAUAGAAACAACAAUUAACACUGAAAAAAAAGAUUUUUUUUAAAUAACUUUCUGUAAAAUGUAAUUUUAAAUAAAUGCAACUUCUGUUGAGAAAUGAAUUAGGACAUCCCCAAAUUCAAUCCCACUUAAAAUAGCGAAAAUCACACACAGGUCUAUCACAUCAGGUGCACAGGAUUAGAACAUCAUUACCUAGUGUUUUGAAGGAGGCUUUCCUUAUUUGAAACUCACAUUUAGUUUAGUGUGCCCCUGACUGUUGAAGUGAGGGAAAACACCAUGGUGAGAUCAAAGUAGCUGUCUGAGGACUUCAGAAAGAAGAUUGUAGACGCUUAUGAGUCUGGUAAGGGAUUUCAAAAGAUCUCAGAAGAAUAUAAAAUCAGUCAUUCCACUGUCCGGAAAAUAGUCUACAAGUGGAGGACAUUUAAAACAACUGCCAACAUGCCCAGGUCUGGCCGUCCAAGCAAGUUCACCCUGAAAGCAGACCGCAAGAUGCUAAAAGAAGUCUCCAAAAACCCUAAAGUGUCAUCACGGGACCUACAGCAGGCUCUUGCUACUGUUGAUGUGAAAGUGCAUGACUCUACAAUCAGAAAGAGACUUCACAAGUUUAACCUUCAUGAGAGGUGUGCAAGGAAGAAACCUUUGCUCUCCAAGAACAUGAAAGGCCAGACUGAGGUUUGCCAGAGUGAAUGUAGACAAAGACCAGGACUUCUGGAAUAAUGUUCUUUGGACAGAUGAAUCUAGAAUUGAAUUAUUUGAACACCAGAACAGAGGACAUUUUUGGCUUGAACCCAAUACAGCAUUCCAGGAAAAGAACCUCAUGCAAACCGUUUAGCAUGGAGGUGGAAGUGUCAUGGUUUGAGAAUGCUUUGCUACAGCAGGACCUGGCCAGCUCACCAUCAUAGAAUCAACCAUGAAUUCUAUCGUGUAUCAGAGGGUGCUUGAGGAACACGUGAGAUCAUCUGUGAAAAAAAUUCAAGCUGAAGCGAAACUGGACCCCGCAACAUGACAAUGACCCAAAACAUACCAGCAAAUCCACCAAGGACUGGCUAAAAAGGAACAAAUGGAGAGUCCUGGAAUGGCCAAUAAAAAAGCCCAGAUAUUAAUAAUCCCAUUGAGAUGUUAUGGGGUGACUUUAAACAGGCUGCACAUUCAAGAAACCCCUCAAAUACCUCACAGCUGAAAGUAUUCUGCGUUUAGGAGUGUAGUGGGGCAAAACUUUCUUCAGACCAAUGUCAAAGACUGGUAGAGGGCUACAAAAAGUGUCUCACUGAAGUUAUUUCAGCCAAAGCGGGUAACACUAGCUAUUAGGUGGGAGGGUAUCCUAACUUUUUCCUCAGAAUAUGCAUUUUUGUUGAUAUGUCUGGUUUAAUGAGUAAAACAAUGUUAAUUUUUGUUGUUUACUUGCAAUUAAAUCACUUUCUUUUCCAGAGAUAAAGAAAAACAAGAUCAGACAUUAAUAUGUGGACAUUUCUUCAUAAAGAACUGAAUAUUUAAUGGGGUGUCCUAAUUUUUUCACAUGACUGUAUACUGAAGGCAUGGAGCAUCAUGAAAGAUACAACAUAAUGCUGUUUGCAAUACAUAUUUACAGGAAUGCUGUGAAGGCUGUUGACAAAGGGCUGCACCCCAUACCACAGCAACAUCUUACCAUGUCAUGGCAAGCCAUACAUUUCCACCCGUAGACGGCAGAAACGCACCGUUAAAAAAUGUCACAUAAAAGAGCAAGUUAUUCUUCAGCUUUUAAAACAACAGUGAUAUCUGUUGCUGAAUUGGUGGGAAAUUGAACCCGUACAUCGUCUUUAAACUCUUCCUGAGAAGUCCAGUGGCCAAACAGCGUGAUAGUCCGAUGCCACCCAAGCGGAUGCAUACUCCACUUACUCAAGAUUGGUUUAAAUCAGUAUGGUCUAAGAGUGAAACAAAAGGUCGCAAAAUGCUAACGUUGCUGCGGUGGUGCCAAGGUGCCGGCCAUCGAAAAGAUGGUAACAGAAACGUCAAUGGAUAUGGUGAUAAUUCCUUGCGGUUUGACUGAACAGAUGCAGGUCACGAGCAUAUCGUGGGAUGGUCCGUUUAAAUGGCGCAUGCGGCAGAAGUGGAACGAGUGGAUGAUUUCAAGGACUCAGCGGCGAAGCGAGGAAGCCAGAACUGGUGCAAAUAGCCGUUUGGAUUUAAGAAACGUGGGAGGCAGUCUCCCCUGACAUCAUUUCAAGAGUGUUCCAGAAAUGCUGCCUCACGAACAAAGUAGUCAGUAAGGAACUCGUGGUCAAGGAGGAACUCAACAGUGAAAAAGCAGAGAGACUGGAUAUUCUGAGAGUAAAGAUCAGUCAGACAGUUCUUAUGAAGAUUUUCUUGCUGACGAUUUCUAUUUGCUAUGAAUUACAGAAAUAGUUGGAUGUAACUAAACUGCUUUGUUUGACAUUAAAAUAUGCGUUUCAGAUGAGAAUGCAGGCGUUGUAUGCUGUGGAGUGAAGCACAAUGUGGGAGCAUGAACAACAAGUUGGGGGUUCGUAUUAGAGUGCAAAACUGGGGUGUAAAUUGUUAUGUACUCAUAUGUUAUAUACCAUUUGGCGUCAUAAAAGUAAGCCCAGUUAUCUUAAUCCUUUGAAGACCACAAAGUUGUAACAUGAUCCUCCUUAGUCUACUCAUGUCUUUCAUAAUCAUAUUAGGGGAAGUCAUAGACAACCCCCAGAACAGUUGACGAAUGAUUAAAGUAUACGUCCACUAGAUUGGAAAACGUGAGAUACAUAUUGGGAGUCAGAUUCUGAAAUGUGCGUGCCUCAUUCAUUAAAACCUGUGUUUGUUGUUUGACUGCACCCUGAGACUCUCGGUAUUUGUGUGUCUACUCCGUUUUUAUUAAAGCGUCAAGAACAGAAAACGAAUGAAUGGCGUUGUGGGUACAAAGUCGAGAGCCAAAGCCAACAAAAUCCAUGAUGAUACGAUAUUGAUUAUUUGAACAAUACGAUAUUUUCUGAUAUUGCAACAUCUACCAUGAUUCAAUUCAAUGGCCUUCAAUCGACAUUGGAAAUUACAGCGCAUACUUAACAUGUCAUAUCGAGACACUCAAACUUAAUUUUUAAUUAAUUAAUAAUUGCUAAUUUAUUGUUUAGUAACAUUUUUAACAAAACAUGAUUUUGUGCAAUUCUGAUCGCUACCAUACCUCCCAGUCCAAAUGGAUUGCAGACAAUUUAAGACUUAAGCAUUAUAAAGUUUGUACUUGAAUGCAGUUACUUCAGCAGUUCCUUCAUGACACUAAUGGACGAACCUCUGUAGCCACCACCAAAGUGGUUCCAGUGAUUCAGGUAGUUGAAGAGUUGGUAAAGCUUGUUUCUCCUGGCAAAACCGGGCGCCUUGGGGAUUUUUUGGUGAUAGGCAUUGAAAAAAGAGUGGUUGAAACCGCCGAACAUUCCAGCGAUUCCCAACUCAUACUCGGAAUGACCGUAGAAAGACGAUGGGUCGAAGACCACCGGGCCUUCCUCGGUUUCUGCUACAUUGCCGCCCCACAAGUCGCCGUGGAGAAGAGCAGGGAACGUCUGCACGUCUUGGAAGAAUUGAGGGAUCUUUAGCUGUUGAGGAAUAAUUUGACCACAUCAAAGAAGUUAUAUUUUUUAUACGGCAAGCCAAUGUCACGUACCUGAAGUUCUGCCCAAAGCUCUCUGGCCUCUCUGUCCCCGUUUGACUUCUCCAACAUGUUGAGCUGAGGCUCAAGCUUCUGUCGGGUGUAAAAUAUCACCCAGUCCUCCUGCCAUUCGUUGUCCUGGAAGAGAAAAAAAUACAUGAAAAUAAGCCAAACAUCUACAAGGCACUGCUGUUGGCAUGCAGUCUGUUUAUACCUGUGGUAUAAUACCACAGCAUGUGGUGGUAGAGAAGCCAUAUUUGUCCACAUAAGUUCCCUCUGACUGCCCAGCUCCUUUUCCUGUUAACACAUUAA